GACGAACGCUGGCGGCGUGCUUAACGCAUGCAAGUCGAACGGAAAGGCCCUGCUUUUGUGGGGUGCUCGAGUGGCGAACGGGUGAGUAACACGUGAGUAACCUGCCCUUGACUUUGGGAUAACUUCAGGAAACUGGGGCUAAUACCGGAUAGGAGCUCCUGCUGCAUGGUGGGGGUUGGAAAGUUUCGGCGGUUGGGGAUGGACUCGCGGCUUAUCAGCUUGUUGGUGGGGUAGUGGCUUACCAAGGCUUUGACGGGUAGCCGGCCUGAGAGGGUGACCGGCCACAUUGGGACUGAGAUACGGCCCAGACUCCUACGGGAGGCAGCAGUGGGGAAUAUUGUACAAUGGGCGGAAGCCUGAUGCAGCAACGCCGCGUGCGGGAUGACGGCCUUCGGGUUGUAAACCGCUUUCGCCUGUGACGAAGCGUGAGUGACGGUAAUGGGUAAAGAAGCACCGGCUAACUACGUG
rnacentral:rRNA from 1 species